CCUCAAGCUGCUGUUGCUCGUCU
rnacentral:miRNA from 2 species